GACUUUCUCCUUCUGUUGUAUCUAUUUGUCAUGGUCAGUCUGGCGAAAUUUGAUUCCACUGCUGUGAUUUCUCCUAGUUGCGGAGUCCUGUCCUGGAAGGAUCCUGACGUUCAGUGUCCAGGGUUCAUACCAACAAGACUCCCAAAGACCUGCCAGAUAUCCCGUCAUGGACAAGGCACAAGCCCCAGGCUUAGCCACCAUGUUUAAACUGCCGGCCUGGCCGGGAACACAGGGCCUGUGGGUUCUUCGGGACUCUCCUGCUCUCAAGUUUGUGGUACACCUGGCACUUUCCUCUGCCUGCUGUCACAAAGGUGUGGACACCUGCUUGCAUUUGGUGCUUUGGGCUAUCCCUGGUCACUUGUUUUGCUCCAAAACCAAUAAGAUUCUGAGAGACAUCUAGAAGUCUUACAGGAACCAGAACUCCUUAGUGUGUGGGAUGAUCCAGGAUAUUCAGAACCUUUAGCACCCCCAAACC
ensembl:lncRNA